GGGAGAGAAGAAGGCUUAGCUUGAGAUUACGAGGGUGAAGGUCGACGGGGUAGCGGAAACGGUGAUCGGUCAGAAUGGACCAUUCCGGCUGUGACUUUCAGAUUUCACAAAGGAAGCAACAAGCUAGCCAAGUUCUCGGGCCGAUGAAACAGGAGACCUUUGAUGUCUCCUAACCAAAUUGGUGUGAAAAAACCUGUAUGUAAAAAAAAAGAAAAUCAAACAUAUCGAUGGAUCUAGCAAAGGGGAUUAGGGUACGAAGACAGAAACUGUACCAAACGAACCACCGAUGAAGAUGAUAUUAAUAAAACCCAGAUUGAUGGGACACAGCCAUAGCCGAGCUCUGUUUUCUAGCUGCACCUGAUGGACGCAAACAGUCUGCCAAUAACCAGCCAUGGCCAUGCCUUAAGUAUAUAUAAGGAAGUAUUGGAUGAAGCCUUCGAUGUAGUGAGCUUGCGGGUUGCCAUGCUCUAGACAGAGUUUCUUGAACUGGGCGUGCUGCGUCAACAUCUUGAUCGGCUUUGCAACAAAAUAUGCGAGGCUAACGUUUCGGAAAUAGACAUCCGGGUCCGAGUUCAACGAACUCUCAUCGACUGACUCAUCUUCACUUUCGUGGUAAGGAUUAUUGGUGACUGAAUUCUCGGAUGACAUCGUAGCGGAUACUCAACUUUGUUAAGAACUGCACUUUGUUUCUAAUAUUGUUUCUCUCAAGAAUGAGCUCUCUCUCGGUUAUUAGGCUGAGAAAGUGGAGGAGAGGUUUAUAUAAAGGGAAUAUGUAUAAUAUAAAUUUGAAAAUCUUGCAUGGAUCAAAUAGAAAAGUAGAUGGGAACUUUUCAGCUUUAUUAAAGCUGUAUAGAUAUUGUGUUGUCAACUCAAUACAUAGAUAUCGAAAAAAAGAUUCAACAUGCGUAAUCUUAUUAGUUUCAAUAGUCAGGUGCUUUUUAUAUAUAUGUGGUUAGUUUUAGGUUUAUAAUACUU